AUUGAACGCUGGCGGCAGGCCUAACACAUGCAAGUCGAGCGGAUGAAGGGAGCUUGCUCCUGGAUUCAGCGGCGGACGGGUGAGUAAUGCCUAGGAAUCUGCCUGGUAGUGGGGGAUAACGUCCGGAAACGGGCGCUAAUACCGCAUACGUCCUGAGGGAGAAAGUGGGGGAUCUUCGGACCUCACGCUAUCAGAUGAGCCUAGGUCGGAUUAGCUAGUUGGUGGGGUAAAGGCCUACCAAGGCGACGAUCCGUAACUGGUCUGAGAGGAUGAUCAGUCACACUGGAACUGAGACACGGUCCAGACUCCUACGGGAGGCAGCAGUGGGGAAUAUUGGACGAUGGGCGAAAGCCUGAUCCAGCCAUGCCGCGUGUGUGAAGAAGGUCUUCGGAUUGUAAAGCACUUUAAGUUGGGAGGAAGGGCAGUAAGUUAAUACCUUGCUGUUUUGACGUGACCAACAGAAUAAGCACCGGCUAACUUCG
rnacentral:rRNA from 1 species